CAGUCGCCGCGGUAAUACGAAGGGUGCAAGCGUUACUCGGAAUUACUGGGCGUAAAGCGUGCGUAGGUGGUGGUUUAAGUCCGUUGUGAAAGCCCUGAGCUCAACCUGGGAAUUGCAGUGGAUACUGGGUCACUAGAGUGUGGUAGAGGAUAGUGGAAUUCCCGGUGUAGCGGUGAAAUGCGUAGAGAUCGGGAGGAACAUCAGUGGCGAAGGCGGCCAUCUGGGACAACACUGACGCUGAGGCACGAAAGCGUGGGGAGCAAACAGGAUUAGAUACCCGCGUAGUCCCUGUCUCUUAUAC
rnacentral:rRNA from 1 species